GGAAUAUAAGAACCCGUCUCUUAACUUUUAACUAAAAAAAUUAAGAACCGGCUCUUAAAACUCUUAUUUAAGAACCAAUUCUUAGCUUUUUUAGUUAAAAGUUAAGAGACGGAUUCUUAUAUUCC
rfam:Brassica napus, WGS project CCCW01000000 data, contig: 3175